rnacentral:rRNA from 1 species
GUGCAGCAGUCGCGAAAACUUUACAAUGCGGGAAACCGCGUUAAGGGGACACCGAGUGCCAGCAUAUUAUGUUGGCUGUCCACAUGUGUAAACGGCAUGGUGUUAGCAAGGGCCGGGCAAGACCGGUGCCAGCCGCCGCGGUAACACCCGGCGGCCCGAGUGGUAAUCACUUUUAUUGGGUCUAAAGGGUCCGUAGCCGGUUUGAUCGAGUUCUUCGGGAAAUCUGACAGCUCAACUGUUAGGCUUCCGGGGAAUACUGUCAGACUUGGGACCGGGAGAGGUAAGAGGUACUACAGGGGUAGGAGUGAAAUACUUGUAAUCCCUGUGGGACCGACCAGUGGCGAAGGCGUCUUACCAGAACGGGUCCGACGGUGAGGGACGAAAGCUGGGGGCACGAACCGGAUUAGAUACCCGCGUAGU